GGAUGCCUACGGUGCAGGAGUGAGGUGGGGUUGGGGGACUGGAGGGGCCGGGCCCUAGCAGCCGGGAGCCACAGCCGGGAGUACCUGCCAUUCUGACACCGCCACCAAGCCUGGCUAUGAGGAUGGCCACAACGUCCCAUCCCCAGCAUCUUCCCUGCAGUGGUGGUUUGUUCACCACCUGGGCACGUUCUCCACACACCACGUGGCCCUGGGCCUCGGCUGUGAGGCCUCUUUCCCACUCAACCCCGUAUCUUUAGGGAAGGCUAUGAUGAUAGGAACGUCACCACAUGACAAGAAUAAAGGCUGCACCAUCAUCCCCAGUGGGGGCGGACAAGGUAUUUGACAAAAUGCAAUCUCUCUUCAGAGGCAUGGAAGGGGCCGUACCUCAUCUGAGAAAGGGCAUCUAGGAAGCCUGCAGCUAACUAACAGCACACCCAACGGGAGGCCGAGCACCAUGCCAGCUCGGGAGCAAGGCAGGCAUCUCAGCAGCAUCCCAGACCACAGAAUAAGGCACAAAAAGACGCAAGGUGCAAAUAUAGGACAGAAGGCCAACGUUCCUCCAGCCAAUCGAUAGCUUCGACUCCAGCCCAGACAGAAACCGGCAGCUGACUGCACGAUGAAUGUGGCAUCAGGAGGGGCCAAAACUACCCUGGGAAGAGCCAAACAGGAGGCUCAGCAGACCAUGAACCCUUGUCCCAGCAUGUCUUGCCCGACUGCCCCUUCCCCAAGGACCAGCAGCCGGACACGGCCCCUCCUGCCUUACAGCCGCAGCCCCUGCCCCCGCUCCUCCCAGCUCUCGGCACCGCUGUGGGGACUCAGCCCCACUUGGUGGGGGCAGGGACACUCCUGCACCUGUGUCAUCUCUGACAAGGUUUCCCUGUGCCACCCUGGGAAACGGCUCCCUCCUCAACAUCUGAAAUUUCCAUCUCUAGUCACGACAUAAGCAUUGGUUUCAUCACCCCAGCGUUCCUCAUCUACUUUCUGACAAUAAACUGAAAUCAGAUUCUCUUGAGCCAGGGCCGUGCCGACGGCUACUUCCCCAUGGUGGCUGAAGGGGACCUUAUGGUCUCCUCAAACACCAGCAACAGCCCUGGGGAGGUGCCAAAAAGCAAAAAGUCCUGGGCACGUGUUCAAGAGCUCAGCCACGCUGGCUGACUGCCCAUCAGGACAGUGCCUUGUCGGUCACCCAUGUGCAGGCUCCAGUCACUUUACGACACAAGGCUAGUGUUCAGCUGUCCAGCUUUCAAGAAAACUCUGCCAGACAGCGCUGUGAGCUGCACACGCCCAGAGGUGCCCACACUCACCGGGAGAGCCGUACUCGUGCCGUGGCAGGCGGCAGAUUUUGGGCAUCACCUCCAUCAGUGUCUUCACGUACUGCAGGAUUGUGCCUUGCAGCUGCGGGGGGACAAGACAGGCUGCGUCAGUCACUCCACUCCACUCUGCUAAUGCCUGUGGCCAGCACACGCCCUGAAACAAGUCUGUUAGCAAAGAGCUUGGUAACGAGGAGGCUGCAGGAUCACCUGGCAGGGGAAAGAAGCCCACCCGUGGAGAGAGAGCAGCCGUCCCCAGGUGGCUUCCCGUGGCUGGAUUCAUGUUCCGAAACCGGACUCCCCUUUCAAGAGGAAAGUGGUCCCGCGGUGCUGCAGUGAGAGCAGAGCUUUGUUGCCAGGGGCCUCCUACAGGGAUGCACCCCAGCAUGGUGAGCACUGCCAGCUCCAGGGUCCCCCAGGACGCCAUCUGUGCUCCUGCGUGCGGCCCCAGGCUCAGCUGUGGUGAGGUCCGCAAUCCUGACACCCUCCAAGCUGCCACAUGUUUUGGCGGAGUCCCCGGCGGGUCCUGGAAGGACCUGUUUGGGUCACGGGGUAAUGGCUGCGCCAAGUGACCAAACUCUUACGUGGUCUCAGUCACAGAAGAUUGUUAAAAUAAUAAAAAGGAUGAAAAAGUAUAAAAAGUAAGUUAUGUAUAGAAAACUAAAUCCAGGCUGACCAAGGUGGCUCACACCUGUAAUUCCAGCACUUUGGGAGGCCAAGAUGGGCAGAUCUCUGGAGCCCAGGAGUUCAAGGCCAGCCUGGGCAACAUAGCAAGACCCCAUCUCUAUACAUACAAAUAAAAACUCGAUGUAUCCGUUAAAAUAACCUGGACCCAUUCUUUUAAGUUUGAAAAGAUGAGGGAGGUAUCAAAUUAUAUAUGGUCAGAAGUGUUUGAAUUGAAUAGUAAUUCAGUGAUUCAUUCAAUUCAUUCAUUCAAGUAAUUGAAUGAAUCCAGCUGUUGGAGGAUCACAGUCCAGGCAGAGAAGACCCUCUGGCUUGGGUGCCCCAGGGAAUUCAGGCUGUGAGAAGGAAGCGUGUCCAGGGAACACUCACCAGGCUCUUGACGACCUUCAGCAGCUCCUCCAUGACCACGGCGAUACCCUGGUAGCCGAGGAGCCGGCAGAUGACUUGAAAGUGUGGAGGUCCCACGAAGUUCCGGUAGCUGCCGUAAAUGCUGGAGUAGGCCAAGUUCAAAGCCUGGAAAACAGGGCACAGAGCUCUCAGCAUGGCCUCUGCACACAUGUGCAGAUGAAGAAUUGCAUGAGAAGAUCAUUCAACACACACAGGCUCAGGUGAAGGGGUCCGAGUGUGCUGACUUGUAAAAUCUACUGCCCUUAACUGGUACAAUUAUAAAACCCACUCAGCCUGCCACCAAAAAGAACCUGCUAAAAUAGAAAAAGAAAACAAAACCA